UACGAAGGGGGCUAGCGUUGCUCGGAAUCACUGGGCGUAAAGCGCACGUAGGCGGCUUCUUAAGUCAGGGGUGAAAUCCCCGAGCUCAACUCGGGAACUGCCCUCCAAACUGUUUGGCUUGAGUCCGGGAGAGGUGAGUGGAAUUCCCAGUGUAGCGGUGAAAUGCGUAGAGAUGUGGAGGAACACCUGUGGCGAAGGCGGGUCUCUGGGCCGAGUACUGACGCUGAGGAGCGAAAGCGUGGGGAGCAAACAGG
rnacentral:rRNA from 1 species